rnacentral:rRNA from 1 species
UGGGGAAUAUUGGACAAUGGGGGGAACCCUGAUCCAGCCAUGCCGCGUGUGUGAAGAAGGCCUUAUGGUUGUAAAGCACUUUAAGCGAGGAGGAGGGUACUGGUAUUAAUACUACCAGGUACUGGACGUUACUCGCAGAAUAAGCACCGGCUAACUCUGUGCCAGCAGCCGCGGUAAUACAGAGGGUGCGAGCGUUAAUCGGAUUUACUGGGCGUAAAGCGUGCGUAGGCGGCUAAUUGAGUCGGAUGUGAAAUCCCCGAGCUUAACUUGGGAAUUGCAUUCGAUACUGGUUAGCUAGAGUGUGGGAGAGGAUGGUAGAAGUCCAGGUGUAGCGGUGAAAUGCGUAGAGAUCUGGAGGAAUACCGAUGGCGAAGGCAGCCAUCUGGCCUAACACUGACGCUGAGGUACGAAGGCAUGGGGAGCAAACAGG